CGCCGCGGUUGGAAGCCGUGCGUUCGGUGUUCCUUGAAGCCUUGGCGGAAUCGUUUCCGCCCUCGACUGGUGCUAAGUGAGAAAACCGAGCUCCUGCAGGCAGGGCCUUGCACGUAUUCACUCAGCGAGAAACUCCCCUGAGACCAGCGCGCUCCCACACGGCUCAGCGGAGGGACAGCCCCUAUGGAAGCAUUCCUCCGCCUGGGGGGCCGCCCGAGGCUGGUCUCCCAGAAAUACCCCCUUUCACAGAUGGGGAAAACGAAACCCAGAGAGAGGCAAAUGGAACAUGAAACCUUUUGAAAGGCUCCAGUGAGAAAUCUGUUCAAACUCCCUGCCAGCUGCUGUCACUUUAAAAGCCACAGACGCAUCUCCCCAGUGAACCUGCCUCAGACAAGGUAAUGAGUUAGGCCUAGAUCUCACUGCAGCCAGCGGUCUUAGCAGGGCAUCUGCUGCCUUUGGAAGCAGACCCCCGCUUCCAGCAGAAGAACCUAUGUUUGCCCUCUCCUUCCCUUUCCUCCAAAAAAGCAGGAGUGGGUCCAGGUCUGCUUGGGCAUCAAAACGGAAGUCUCAGAAAUGGCCUCAUAGACGAGGGCUGAGCCCGGCAUGGUAAUAUGUAAAACCUGGUUGUGGGUGAAUAACUAAGGGGCAGUAGAGUGGCCCUUUCUGAUUGGUCCCUGAAUCUCUUGGUGUCCUGUCAGCCUAUUUAGUGUCAAAGUAUCAAAAAGUAGGCCAAGCCUGGAAAAGAUAUCUCUGCUUUUGACAAGCACCCAGUUCACUCAGAACACACUGCCUCAUUAGAUGACCUCAGAGCCACACGCAGGACCCAGGACUGGCUGAGAUGCUGAGACAGGAUGACGAGAUAUGAUAUUAUGACUUACAAUAAUAAAUGUAUAUUUUGUUUUCACCCCCA